rnacentral:rRNA from 1 species
AUUGAACGCUGGCGGCAUGCUUUACACAUGCAAGUCGAACGGCAGCGCGGGCUUCGGCCUGGCGGCGAGUGGCGAACGGGUGAGUAAUACAUCGGAACGUGCCCAGUAGUGGGGGAUAGCUCGGCGAAAGCCGGAUUAAUACCGCAUACGACCUGAGGGUGAAAGCGGGGGAUCUUCGGACCUCGCGCUAUUGGAGCGGCCGAUGGCAGAUUAGCUAGUUGGUGGGGUAAAGGCCUACCAAGGCGACGAUCUGUAGCUGGUCUGAGAGGACGACCAGCCACACUGGGACUGAGACACGGCCCAGACUCCUACGGGAGGCAGCAGUGGGGAAUUUUGGACAAUGGGCGGAAGCCUGAUCCAGCAAUGCCGCGUGUGUGAUGAAGGCCUUCGGGUUGUAAAGCACCUUUGGCGGGAACGAAAAGGACUGUGCCAAUACCACGGUUCGAUGACGGUACCCGCAGAAUAAGCACCGGCUAACUACGUG